rnacentral:misc_RNA from 1 species
UGGAAGUGGAGCAUCCAGCUGCCAAGGUGCUUGUCGAGUUGGCAGAGCUUCAAGACCGAGAAGUAGGAGAUGGAACAACUUCAGUUGUUAUUGUUGCUGCAGAGUUGCUCAAGAGAGCAAAUGAUCUGGUGAGGAAUAAGAUUCACCCAACAUCAAUAAUCAGUGGAUACAGACUUGCUAUGAGGGAAGCAUGUAAAUAUGUUGAUGAAAAAUUGGCUGUGAAGGUUGA